GAUGAACGCUAGCUACGGGCUUAACACAUGCAAGUCGAGGGGAAACGAUAGAGAAAGCUUGCUUUUUCUAGGCGUCGACCGGCGCAUGGGUGAGUAACGCGUAUCCAACCUGCCCACCACUUGGGGAUAACCUUGCGAAAGUAAGACUAAUACCCAAUGAUAUCUCAAGAAGACAUCUGAAUGAGAUUAAAGAUUUAUAGGUGAUGGAUGGGGAUGCGUCUGAUUAGCUUGUUGGCGGGGUAACGGCCCACCAAGGCGACGAUCAGUAGGGGUUCUGAGAGGAAGGUCCCCCACAUUGGAACUGAGACACGGUCCAAACUCCUACGGGAGGCAGCAGUGAGGAAUAUUGGUCAAUGGGCGAGAGCCUGAACCAGCCAAGUAGCGUGCAGGAUGACGGCCCUAUGGGUUGUAAACUGCUUUUAUAAGGGAAUAAAGUGAGCCUCGUGAGGCUUUUUGCAUGUACCUUAUGAAUAAGGACCGGCUAAUUCCGUGCCAGCAGCCGCGGUAA
rnacentral:rRNA from 1 species